AUUCAUAUAGUUUUAUAUUAAAACAUUUUAUUUUCAAUAAAAAAAAAGUUUAAUAAACUUAUGAAUU
rnacentral:tRNA from 1 species